AGUAAUGUGUCUGAGUGUAUAACAGAGCUCCACAGCAAUAAUACUCCCAGUAAUGUGUCUGUGUAUAACAGGGCUCCACAGUAAUAAUACUCCCAGUAAUGUGUCUGAGUGUAUAACAGAGCUCCACAGCAAUAAUACUCCCAGUAAUGUGUCUGAGUGUAUAACAGAGCUCCACAGCAAUAAUACUCCCAGUAAUGUGUCUGAGUGUAUAACAGAGCUCCACAGCAAUAAUACUCCCAGUAAUGUGUCUGAGUGUAUAACAGAGAUCCAUAGC